rnacentral:misc_RNA from 1 species
ACAACCUAGAUCUUGGACCAACCAAGAAUUAGAGAUAAUUAAAGUGGUAGCUGAUCAGGUGGCUGUGGCUGUCUCCCAUGCUGCAGUUCUGGAAGAGUCCCAGCUCAUGAGGGAGAAGUUGGAGGAGCAAAACCGAGCCUUGCAACAGGCAAAAAUGAACGCAAUGAUGGCAAGCCAGGCUAGGACAGCAUUUCAGAAGGUAAUGAGU